UCUAUUUUUCUUCUUCUCUUUCUUCUUUCUCUGUUCUUUCUCUUCUGCGAGUGAUUGAGUGAUUAAACAAGAGUUUUAUGAUCAGUAGAAGGUGGAGAAGAUUAAGGGUUAUUUAACGGUGAUUGUAUGGUUUUCUGUAGUUGAUUCAAACUCGAGAUAAAAGAUGAAUCAGACAAAGAAAAGAGAGAGUUUAUGAGACAUGGAAUCAAUUGAGGAUUUUUGGGAUACUGAGUAUGAAAUUAAGUAAUUGAUGAUGGGUUUUGUUUGUACAAACAGGUGAGAAGAGUUAGUUGUUGAUUUGGGAUUUUGGUGCAGAGUUGAGAAGAUUAGGGGUCUUCUGGAAAUUGAAUUAAGAUUCGAAUUGGUGAUGAUAUAGGGUUGUCGAGGGAUAAAGGAAAAACUGGGUUGUUGUUUGUUUGCGGUUGUAGUGUCAUUUUGAAGAGUAAUUCGAGAUUGAAGAAUUAGGGUUUCAUAUGAUAAUACUCAAAAGAGUUUUAUAAUAUUAAAUCGAGGUUACGGGGAUGGUUUAGAAAUGGGUAUGAUUGGUAUGAAGAUUGUAGUUAUGUAUUGAACCUGAAUUGGGAAAUAGAGGUGAUUGUGAAUAAACUAGGGUUGCAGAGAAUUUGUGGUGGUGAUGGGGAUGUUGGAUGCUGAAGAAAAUUACUUUGAGGUAAUUGUUAUGAGUUAAUUUGGUAAUUCUAUUGAAUUUUGUUGAUUAUAUGAAGUUGAUAAUUGAAUUAAGAUAUGUGGUAGAUGGAAUUGAACUGUGUGUUUUGUGGUUCUAAAAUGGUUGAGUUAUGAUAGUUUAUUGUGAUGAAUGAAGUAGCUUGUUAAGAUUGUAGUGUUGUUGAUGCUGUUUGAGUUGAAAUGUUUUGGGUAUACUUUGUGGAGUCUCUGAUGAGUUGAGAAGAUGGAUUGGUUGUAUCUACUGGGAAUUGGAUGUGCAGCUGUAGAGUGGGUUGAAGUUCUGUUAGUAAGAUGAUGGCGGUGUUUCUAGUUUUGCAGAGGUUAUUAUGAAAGUGAAAUGAAAUAGAGAAGUGAUUUUACUCUGAAUAUUGCAAGUGAUGUGGUUGUAUAGUACAUAGAGCUGGAACUGCUCAGAGAUGAAGAGAUAUAGGAAGUAUGAAUGUAGAAAGUUGUUGAUUAAAGCCGCAACUGCAGAUGUAGGAAGUGAGCUGGUGGUGUUAUGUUAAGCUGAAUGUGCAGAGUUACGGGGGUUGAGACUAGAUGAGCAAUUUAGAUCAAGGUAGUAAUGGUAAUGUUGUACUAAUGUUAUGUUUUUGAAUGCAGAGAAGGGGUUAGAAAUCUAUUAGUAGGGGAUUGGUGAUGAAUUAGUGAGUUGCAGAACUCUGAAAACAUAAUGGUAAUGAUAAUUGGAGAUGGUGAGUUGCCUGUGAAGAUGAAUGAUGGGUUAAACACAAACGGCAGUUGUUAGGAGUCUGAGUUUAGAAUGGAAGUGAAUUGUUAUUGUUAUUUGAAUGGAAUGGCAGAAGUGAUUCGAAUGUGAGACGUAUAUGCUGAGUUGGUUGUAUGCUGUUAUAGCAAUGGGUUUAGUAAAAGCUUGUAAUUGCAGAUUAAGCGAUCGCUUCAAAGGAUGAACCAGUGGAUCGUGGAUCUCGAGGUAGGCGUGGCUUGUCAUCAAAAGAGGUGUGUAAGGAAUUGGUCGACACCUAUUUGGAAAUAAGAGUUUCCAUGCGUGGUAUAUAGGACUGCUUCUUUAUUUAUAUCUACAUGAAUUCGAGCUUUUAUACGUAUUAAGUGUGUAAGGAAUUGGUCGACAGCAUUGUAAACUAAUAGGGUGUGUAAGGAAUUGGUCGACACUCAAUAUAGUACAUUGUUUGAAGAAGGAGUUAGUUCCAUAUACAUGAUUGUUUAACUCUGUAGAUUGAUUAUGUUUUAGUGUACUGAGAAAACAUGAAUUGUUUUCCAAAUCAUUUUAAUAAUUACUUGAAAGUUAAAUGUUAUUUCCAUUGGGCACCCCUUUUAGGGACGAUGUGCUCACCCAUUCCCACUUUCAGUUUCAGAGACAGAUCAGAGUUGCGCAGCGAAAGCUUCAAGCGAUGAUUUCGUUAGUUGGUUAACUUGUAUUAUGUUUGUUAUGUUGUAUAUUCUAUUUCUAAACCAAAUGACUAUUGUAUAUGUAUCAUUUGAGAGGAGUUCUUGUAUAUUUAUAUUUCUUAGCGGGGCUAGUUUUUGGGUUAAGUUUUGUAGCAAAUUCCUUAAUUGAAUGUUUAAGUAUAUGAUUGGAUCAUUAGUGCCGCUUUUUUUGGUUAA